AUAUUCCUUUUUAAAAUUUAAAAUUGAAUAAAAUUAAUUAAUCUAGAAUUUUUUAGAAAAUGAUACACAUUCUAUUCCUAUUCAUUUUGGUUCAUAUUAAAGCCCACCCAGAAGUUGUAUCGACUCAAUUUAGAAAACUAUGUUGGGGGAACCUAUAUGAUGAAUAUCCUGACCAUUUCGAUAUAUAUUAUGGCACUUUGGAAUUAGUGUUCUCGGAAAUAUAUCUUGUUAGAAAGAAGAAUUCAGUAGUGUCUUAUAUCGAAGGGGGUGAUAGGAACCUUAAUACAUAUUCAAGAA